AUCCAGCUGACCAGUCACAAAUAGGACGAAACGCGCGUCAAACUGGAU
rfam:Schistosoma rodhaini strain Burundi genome assembly, scaffold: SROB_scaffold0000391